rnacentral:misc_RNA from 1 species
UUUCCGUAGGUGAACCUGCGGAAGGAUCAUUCAUAAUAAAGUGUUUUAUGGCACUUUUUAAAAAUCCAUAUCCACCUUGUGUGCAAUGUUAGAUCUCGUCAAUCUUGGCGAGAUUUUUAUACAUCAACUCAUUCUUUAACUAAUUUGUCUGAAAAAUAUUAUGAAUACUUAAUUCAAAAUACAACUUUCAACAACGGAUCUCUUGGCUCUG